rnacentral:ncRNA from 1 species
UGAUAGCGUUGAAGCGUGAGGUUGCUACAGAAAUGUAGGUUUUUCCGUGGAGCGAAUGUCAAGUUAAAAAACUGACGGCAA